CUACUCGGGUUUCUAAUCCUGUUUGCUACCCACGCUUUCGCACCUCAGUGUCAGUGUCAGGCCAGAAGGCCGCCUUCGCCACUGGUAUUCCUCCCGAUCUCUACGCAUUUCACCGCUACACCGGGAAUUCCACCUUCCUCUCCUGCACUCUAGCUUGGCCGUUCCAGAUGCCGUUCCCAGGUUGAGCCCGGGGCUUUCACACCUGGCGUGCCAAGCCACCUACGCGCGCUUUACGCCCAGUAAUUCCGAUUAACGCUCGCACCCUCCGUAUUACCGCGGCGGCUGGCAC
rnacentral:rRNA from 1 species